ACUCCCAGUCUCUGAAGCUCAGUGGUAGAGCGUCCGACCGGUAUGCGGAAGGUCAUAGGUUCACCUCCUGUUGGGAGAA